CCUCGGGCGGACAUGAAGUGGCGAACGGGUGAGUAACACGUGACCAACCUGCCCCUUGCUCCGGGACAACCCAGGGAAACCUCGGCUAAUACCGGAUACUCCGCGCAGCCCGCAUGGGAGGCGCGGGAAAGCCCAGACGGCAAGGGAUGGGGUCGCGGCCCAUUAGGUAGACGGCGGGGUAACGGCCCACCGUGCCCGCGAUGGGUAGCCGGGUUGAGAGACCGACCGGCCACAUUGGGACUGAGAUACGGCCCAGACUCCUACGGGAGGCAGCAGUGGGGAAUUUUGCGCAAUGGGGGAAACCCUGACGCAGCAACGCCGCGUGCGGGACGAAGGCCUUCGGGUUGUAAACCGCUUUCAGCAGGGAAUAUAGUGAAGGUACCUGCAGAAGAAGCUCCGGCUAACUACGUGCCAGCAGCCGCGGUAAUACGUAGGGAGCGAGCGUUAUCCGGAUUCAUUGGGCGUAAAGCGCGCGUAGGCGGCCCGUCAAGCGGGGUUUCAAAUCCAGGGGCUCAACCUCUGGCCGGACCCCGAACUGGCGGGCUCGAGUGCGGUAGAGGAAGGUGGAAUUCCCAGUGUAGCGGUGAAAUGCGCAGAUAUUGGGAAGAACACCGAUGGCGAAGGCAGCCUUCUGGGCCGCCACUGACGCUGAGGCGCGAAAGCUAGGGGAGCGAACAGGAUUAGAUACCCUGGUAGUCCUAGCCGUAAACGAUGGGCACUAGGUGUGGGGGAGCAUCUCCUCCGUGCCGCAGCCAACGCAUUAAGUGCCCCGCCUGGGGAGUACGGCCGCAAGGCUAAAACUCAAAGGAAU
rnacentral:rRNA from 1 species